rnacentral:rRNA from 1 species
ACCUGAUCCAGCCCUGCCGCGUGUGUGAAGAAGGCCCUCGGGUUGUAAAGCACUUUCAGCGAGGAAGAACGCCUAGCGGUUAAUACCCGCUAGGAAAGACAUCACUCGCAGAAGAAGCACCGGCUAACUCCGUGCCAGCAGCCGCGGUAAUACGGAGGGUGCAAGCGUUAAUCGGAAUUACUGGGCGUAAAGCGCGCGUAGGUGGCUUGAUAAGCCGGUUGUGAAAGCCCCGGGCUCAACCUGGGAACGGCAUCCGGAACUGUCAAGCUAGAGUGCAGGAGAGGAAGGUAGAAUUCCCGGUGUAGCGGUGAAAUGCGUAGAGAUCGGGAGGAAUACCAGUGGCGAAGGCGGCCUUCUGGACUGACACUGACACUGAGGUGCGAAAGCGUGGGUAGCAAACAGGAUUAGAUACCCUGGUAGUCCACGCCGUAAACGAUGUCGACCAGCCGUUGGGUGCCUAGCGCACUUUGUGGCGAAGUUAACGCGAUAAGUCGACCGCCUGGGGAGUACGGCCGCAAGGUUAAAACUCAAA